AAAAGUAGACCUUGAAUUAUAAGGGGUUCAUUUACAUUGAAUAAAUCUAUAGUAGUUAUAGUAUUUUUA
rnacentral:tRNA from 1 species